rnacentral:rRNA from 1 species
UAAGGCGGCCACAGCGGCGGGGGUACACCCGUACCCAUCCCGAACACGGAAGUUAAGCCCGCCAGCGUUCCGGGGCCUACUUGAGUGCGCGAGCCUCUGGGAGACCCGGUUCGCCGCCUCCA